UCCUCGAUAGCUCAGCGGCAGAGCGGCGGACUCUUAAUCCGCGCGCCGAGUGUUCGAUCCCAGGUCGCGCUG
rnacentral:tRNA from 1 species